UUAAGCGACUAAGCGUACACGGUGGAUGCCCUGGCAGUCAGAGGCGAUGAAGGACGUGCUAAUCUGCGAUAAGCGUCGGUGAGGUGAUAUGAACCGUUAUAACCGGCGAUUUCCGAAUGGGGAAACCCAGUGUGUUUCGACACACUAUCAUUAACUGAAUCCAUAGGUUAAUGAGGCGAACCGGGGGAACUGAAACAUCUAAGUACCCCGAGGAAAAGAAAUCAACCGAGAUUCCCCCAGUAGCGGCGAGCGAACGGGGAGGAGCCCAGAGCCUGAAUCAGUGUGUGUGUUAGUGGAAGCGUCUGGAAAGGCGUGCGAUACAGGGUGACAGCCCCGUACACAAAAAUGCACAUAUUGUGAGCUCGAUGAGUAGGGCGGGACACGUGGUAUCCUGUCUGAAUAUGGGGGGACCAUCCUCCAAGGCUAAAUACUCCUGACUGACCGAUAGUGAACCAGUACCGUGAGGGAAAGGCGAAAAGAACCCCGGCGAGGGGAGUGAAAAAGAACCUGAAACCGUGUACGUACAAGCAGUGGGAGCCUCUUAAUGGGGUGACUGCGUACCUUUUGUAUAAUGGGUCAGCGACUUAUAUUCUGUAGCAAGGUUAACCGAAUAGGGGAGCCGAAGGGAAACCGAGUCUUAACUGGGCGUUAAGUUGCAGGGUAUAGACCCGAAACCCGGUGAUCUAGCCAUGGGCAGGUUGAAGGUUGGGUAACACUAACUGGAGGACCGAACCGACUAAUGUUGAAAAAUUAGCGGAUGACUUGUGGCUGGGGGUGAAAGGCCAAUCAAACCGGGAGAUAGCUGGUUCUCCCCGAAAGCUAUUUAGGUAGCGCCUCGUGAAUUCAUCUCCGGGGGUAGAGCACUGUUUCGGCAAGGGGGUCAUCCCGACUUACCAACCCGAUGCAAACUGCGAAUACCGGAGAAUGUUAUCACGGGAGACACACGGCGGGUGCUAACGUCCGUCGUGAAGAGGGAAACAACCCAGACCGCCAGCUAAGGUCCCAAAGUCAUGGUUAAGUGGGAAACGAUGUGGGAAGGCCCAGACAGCCAGGAUGUUGGCUUAGAAGCAGCCAUCAUUUAAAGAAAGCGUAAUAGCUCACUGGUCGAGUCGGCCUGCGCGGAAGAUGUAACGGGGCUAAACCAUGCACCGAAGCUGCGGCAGCGACACUAUGUGUUGUUGGGUAGGGGAGCGUUCUGUAAGCCUGUGAAGGUGGCCUGUGAGGGUUGCUGGAGGUAUCAGAAGUGCGAAUGCUGACAUAAGUAACGAUAAAGCGGGUGAAAAGCCCGCUCGCCGGAAGACCAAGGGUUCCUGUCCAACGUUAAUCGGGGCAGGGUGAGUCGACCCCUAAGGCGAGGCCGAAAGGCGUAGUCGAUGGGAAACAGGUUAAUAUUCCUGUACUUGGUGUUACUGCGAAGGGGGGACGGAGAAGGCUAUGUUGGCCGGGCGACGGUUGUCCCGGUUUAAGCGUGUAGGCUGGUUUUCCAGGCAAAUCCGGAAAACCAAGGCUGAGGCGUGAUGACGAGGCACUACGGUGCUGAAGCGACAAAUGCCCUGCUUCCAGGAAAAGCCUCUAAGCAUCAGGUAACAUCAAAUCGUACCCAAAACCGACACAGGUGGUCAGGUAGAGAAUACCAAGGCGCUUGAGAGAACUCGGGUGAAGGAACUAGGCAAAAUGGUGCCGUAACUUCGGGAGAAGGCACGCUGAUAUGUAGGUGAAGCGACUUGCUCGUGGAGCUGAAAUCAGUCGAAGAUACCAGCUGGCUGCAACUGUUUAUUAAAAACACAGCACUGUGCAAACACGAAAGUGGACGUAUACGGUGUGACGCCUGCCCGGUGCCGGAAGGUUAAUUGAUGGGGUUAGCGGUAACGCGAAGCUCUUGAUCGAAGCCCCGGUAAACGGCGGCCGUAACUAUAACGGUCCUAAGGUAGCGAAAUUCCUUGUCGGGUAAGUUCCGACCUGCACGAAUGGCGUAAUGAUGGCCAGGCUGUCUCCACCCGAGACUCAGUGAAAUUGAACUCGCUGUGAAGAUGCAGUGUACCCGCGGCAAGACGGAAAGACCCCGUGAACCUUUACUAUAGCUUGACACUGAACAUUGAGCCUUGAUGUGUAGGAUAGGUGGGAGGCUUUGAAGUGUGGACGCCAGUCUGCAUGGAGCCGACCUUGAAAUACCACCCUUUAAUGUUUGAUGUUCUAACGUUGGCCCGUAAUCCGGGUUGCGGACAGUGUCUGGUGGGUAGUUUGACUGGGGCGGUCUCCUCCUAAAGAGUAACGGAGGAGCACGAAGGUUGGCUAAUCCUGGUCGGACAUCAGGAGGUUAGUGCAAUGGCAUAAGCCAGCUUGACUGCGAGCGUGACGGCGCGAGCAGGUGCGAAAGCAGGUCAUAGUGAUCCGGUGGUUCUGAAUGGAAGGGCCAUCGCUCAACGGAUAAAAGGUACUCCGGGGAUAACAGGCUGAUACCGCCCAAGAGUUCAUAUCGACGGCGGUGUUUGGCACCUCGAUGUCGGCUCAUCACAUCCUGGGGCUGAAGUAGGUCCCAAGGGUAUGGCUGUUCGCCAUUUAAAGUGGUACGCGAGCUGGGUUUAGAACGUCGUGAGACAGUUCGGUCCCUAUCUGCCGUGGGCGCUGGAGAACUGAGGGGGGCUGCUCCUAGUACGAGAGGACCGGAGUGGACGCAUCACUGGUGUUCGGGUUGUCAUGCCAAUGGCACUGCCCGGUAGCUAAAUGCGGAAGAGAUAAGUGCUGAAAGCAUCUAAGCACGAAACUUGCCCCGAGAUGAGUUCUCCCUGACUCCUUGAGAGUCCUGAAGGAACGUUGAAGACGACGACGUUGAUAGGCCGGGUGUGUAAGCGCAGCGAUGCGUUGAGCUAACCGGUACUAAUGAACCGUGAGGCUUAACCUU
rnacentral:rRNA from 24 species